rnacentral:rRNA from 1 species
CAAUAGCGUAUAUUUAAGUUGUUGCAGUUAAAAAGCUCGUAGUUGGAUUUCGGUUAAGAGCGACCGGUCCGCCGUUUGGUGUGCACUGGUUGGUUUUAACUUCCUGUAGAGGACGUGCUCUGGGUUUAACGACCUGGACUCGGAGUCUACGUGGUUACUUUGAAAAAAUUAGAGUGUUCAAAGCGGGCUUACGCUUGAAUAUUUCAGCAUGGAAUAACACUAUAGGACUCCUGUCCUAUUUCGUUGGUCUCGGGACGGGAGUAAUGAUUAAGAGGAACAGUUGGGGGCAUUCGUAUUUCAUUGUCAGAGGUGAAAUUCUUGGAUUUAUGAAAGACGAACUUCUGCGAAAGCAUUUGCCAAGGAUGUUNUCAUUAA